CUUAAACUUUAUAGCUCAUCUUUUAAAAUUUGUAUUUAUUUACUUUUUUUUUUUUUGCCGGUACCGGGAAUCGAACUCAUGACCUUGCUCUUGCCAGGCAGGCGCUGUGCCCCUGAGCUAAACCCCCAGGCCCCCUACUUUUUUUUUGACAUGAAGUUUACAAAUCCUGAGAGCGGCCCCCCAUAGUGGGGAACGGUGCUCCUUCCCGGCCCUGCAGCAGGGGGCGCCGCUCAUCCCCCGGAGGCGACAAGAACGCGUUACAAGCUGGACUAGGGCACAUUUUAAAGCGGCGUCUCCAAGAUGGGUGAUCCAGGAUGCGCGGUUUCACCGUCUGCCGGUUACAGUGCAAGCUCUCCACAAGCGUUUAAAGUCAAGAUAUGCUGUCGUCGAGGCCGCUGCCUGCUGGGCUGGAGGAAAGGGUCGUUUCCCUUAAUCACACCUCAGAAUGGGGGACAGCUUUGCCUCGGAGUCCCGAGCGCGCGUGAAAGUGCAGGGGAGCUCGGCGCCUCCUCGGAUGUUAGGGCUGGGAGCAGAGGCCAGUGA
rnacentral:lncRNA from 1 species